CUGCUGCUUCCCCGAAAGACAAGUGCCCCUCUGUGAGGUGAGACUCCCGCCCCCUACUGCCGAGAAUCUGGAGAUCUCAGAGGAGGAGCAGGUGGAGGUGUUGUCCCGCGCCAACGAGCAGGAGCCGUCGGGCUGGUGGUUGGCUCAGGUCCGGAUGAUAAAGGGCGAUUUUUAUGUGAUCGAAUACACCGUCUCCAACGCUCCCUACAACGAGAUCGUUACCGCCGACCGCCUGCGAGCCAUCAAUCACAACGAAGUGGGCCGGACCUUCUUCAAAUACAACCUGCCAAUCCCGGAGGACCUCCGCAAAAUGUAAGGGGAAA